rnacentral:lncRNA from 12 species
CCGGGGAAGAGACUUUGCGUGUGGUGUGUGUGCCCAUGUGACCCUGCGUGUGGCCCUGCGUGUGCCCGGGUGGCUGUGUGCGCGCGCACGCACGCGCGCGCGUGCCCAGGCUUGGCCGCCCCUCCCGGCCCCUCCUCCCCGGAGGCAGGAGGGAGGCGGCCCGCAGCGGGCCGGUGCCAGCGCUGGAGGAGGAAAUGCCGCGCGGAAGCGGCCCGGAAACAGCCGAGGCUCCGUCCCAGCCCAGGAUCCGGGAAGGAGCCGCCGCUCCACGCCCAGACCUCCCGGGCCGUGCGCGGAGACCGGCCCCUCGGUGGAGGCCUGCGCGGAGGCCGCCCGGGCAGAGGCCUCCCCCCGCCCCCGCCCCCUCCCUCCGUCCCUCCCCCCGCCGGGCGCCGCGCAUCUGGCGGGGCGGGGGGCAGACCCCGCCGGGAGAGCAGACAAAGGCCCGCCCGCGGCCUGCGGCAGGAGGGGGCAGGGGGGCCGGCGCCCCGGCGGGUCCCCCCCGACCGGCCGCUAAUUAAAGGCCCCGCGCCCGACGGGCUGGAGACACUCGGCGACGGCCGGCUGUGGCCUCGGCGACCGACCCGGGGGAGGUGGAAGGUGCCACUCCCACGCCCAGACACACAAACACACGCGGGGCGCGACGGACACUCGAGGGUGACCCCACCUGCGCAGCCGGGGACCGACAGCUGGACAGCUGGACACCGCACACCCACAAAGGACUCCCACCCCGGCACACUCAGGACACACUCAGGACACACACGUCCCGCGGCAAACGCACAAGACACACAGCUACACACUCUGCAGACCUCUGUGCACACGCACGUACACGCUCAUUCACACACAGGAGACAACUCGGAGACAAACACACACUUGGGCCUACACGCACAGACACGUACACACUCGUUCACACGCUCACACCAGGCAGCGGGCGGACUCGGGGUCCCGCAGACCUUGACAAACACACCGGACACGCUCACUUACGCGCACUUGCUCACACUUGUUACACUCAGACACACCCGGAGGCUGCACAGAGACGCUCACACCUCAGCUAGACAUCGACACACAGAGCAGACGCUCGCCUCCGUGCACACACUGGCUUACACUCACACCUAUGCACACACACACACACACACACACACCGCCCCGGAGCAUCGCACACAAAGUCAAACACACCCAGACGCUCGUGGGCAUUUUCGUGCAGACUCACACAUGCAGCCUGCAGCGCUCACACCUACGUGGAUGCCCUCAAGCAGGCCGACAGACGCGGGCGGGCGGUAG